rnacentral:rRNA from 1 species
CCUACGGGAGGCAGCAGUGGGGAAUAUUGGACAAUGGGCGAAAGCCUGAUCCAGCCAUGCCGCGUGUGUGAAGAAGGCCUUCGGGUUGUAAAGCACUUUCAGUGGGGAAGAAAGCCUUGGGGCUAAUACCCUCGAGGAAGGACAUCACCCACAGAAGAAGCACCGGCUAACUCCGUGCCAGCAGCCGCGGUAAUACGGAGGGUGCGAGCGUUAAUCGGAAUUACUGGGCGUAAAGCGCGCGUAGGCGGUCUGAUAAGCCGGUUGUGAAAGCCCCGGGCUCAACCUGGGAACGGCAUCCGGAACUGUCAGGCUAGAGUGCAGGAGAGGAAGGUAGAAUUCCCGGUGUAGCGGUGAAAGGCGUAGAGAUCGGGAGGAAUACCAGUGGCGAAGGCGGCCUUCUGGACUGACACUGACGCUGAGGUGCGAAAGCGUGGGUAGCAAACAGGAUUAGAUACCCCUGUAGUC